rnacentral:rRNA from 1 species
AGAGUUUGAUCCUGGCUCAGAUUGAACGCUGGCGGCAUGCCUAACACAUGCAAGUCGAACGGUAACAGGCCGCAAGGUGCUGACGAGUGGCGGACGGGUGAGUAAUACGUAGGUAUCUGCCCUGUAGUGGGGGAUAACCCGGGGAAACUCGGGCUAAUACCGCAUACGCUCUUUUAUCGUUGAGAUAGGAGAGGAAAGCGAGGGACCGAAAGGCCUCGCGCUAGAGGAUGAGCCUACGCCCGAUUAGCUAGUUGGUAGGGUAAAGGCCUACCAAGGCGACGAUCGGUAGCUGGUCUGAGAGGAUGGCCAGCCACACUGGGACUGAGACACGGCCCAGACUCCUACGGGAGGCAGCAGUGGGGAAUAUUGGACAAUGGGGGAAACCCUGAUCCAGCGAUGCCGCGUGGGUGAAGAAGGCCUGCGGGUUGUAAAGCCCUUUCAGUGGGGAAGAAAAACGGGGUGUGAAAAGCGCUUCGUCUUGACGUUACCCACAGAAGAAGCACCGGCUAACUCCGUGCCAGCAGCCGCGGUAAUACGGAGGGUGCGAGCGUUAAUCGGAAUUACUGGGCGUAAAGGGCGCGUAGGCGGUUAGGUAAGUCGAGUGUGAAAGCCCUGGGCUUAACCUGGGAAUGGCAUUCGAGACUACCUAUCUAGAGUCUGGUAGAGGGAAGUGGAAUUUCCGGUGUAGCGGUGAAAUGUGUAGAUAUCGGAAGGAACACCAGUGGCGAAGGCGACUUCCUGGACCAAGACUGACGCUGAGGCGCGAAAGCGUGGGGAUCAAACAGGAUUAGAUACCCUAGUAGUCC